GCCUUGGAAUCUGCAUUCUAACAAGUUCCAUGUGGUUCUUCUGAUGCAUACCUGCAACCCUAAGCUCAGGGAUUGUACCCUGCCACCUCUGUGGAGAACCAUCAGUUCUUGAUUUCCAAAC
rnacentral:lncRNA from 1 species